GUCCACGCUGUAAACGAUGUCAACUAGCUGUUGGAUAUAUGAAUAUAUUUAGUGGCGAAGCAAACGCGAUAAGUUGACCGCCUGGGGGAGUACGGUCGCAAGAUUAAAACUCAAAGGAAUUGACGGGGGCCCCGCACAAGCGGUGGAGCAUGUGGUUUAAUUCGAUGCAACGCGAAGAACCUUACCUACCCUUGACAUACAGUGGAUUUUGCAGAGAUGCAUUAGUGCCUUCGGGAACACUGAUACAGGUGCUGCAUGGCUGUCGU
rnacentral:rRNA from 1 species